GCUUCAAUCGAUUAACGGUUAAAUCACGCCCUUCACAGAUGCACUACAUCGGGCGAGCCCCCGGUUCGAUUCCGGGUUGAAGCA
rnacentral:tRNA from 1 species